AGAAUCAACUGGAUCACUAUUUGCUAUGUGUUGAGUUACAGUUUCAAAAAAUAGAUAUUCAGAUUUUUAGAAUGAAGUUUGUUGAUUAGCUUAUCAUUUUGAAAUAUGUCCACUGCAGGUUUUACUGGUUGUGGAGAGAGAGAUCAUUUUUCUAGAUUCUGUACUCCCUGGUGGUUUUGGAGAUGACUCGUACAAAACGAUAUUUAGGUUAAGAGAGAGGAAAAAGUUGCCCUUGUUCAGUGGCUUUUACCAAUAAUAUUUUACGCAAGAGCCAUGUUCUGUGGCUGCUGAUUUACACAAAAGCCUUGUUCUAUGGCUGAUGAUUUACAAAAAGCCUUGUUCUAUGGCUGAUGAUUUACAAAAAGCCUUGUUCUAUGGCUGAAAAUUAACAAAAAGCCUUGUUCUAUGGCUGAUGAUUUACAAAAAGCCUUGUUCUAUGGCUGAUGAUUUACAAAAAGCCUUGUUCUAUGGCUGCUUAUUUAUAGCUUUGUUCUUUUGUUUUAUGUUUACGCAGAAGCCUUGUUCGAUGGCUGUAGGAUUAGGUCUCAUUUUAUGAAACUAGACCAUGGAGAACAAUUGUAUGACUAUAGGUUUCAGUAAGUGUGUGUCCAUAAUUAAUUUUUUUCCCAUUUUAUGUGCAGACAUAUUGCAGGCCAGAUUGACCCAAGACCCUGGACAGAGAAGACCGGCAGAAGUUUUGAUCACUUCCCUCAACAAACUUCUGGGAACUACUGUGGCAUCCUUAUACUCAUUCAUGCCCUCUGUAUCUGCACCAAUACCCCAUUUAUCUUCACAGAGAAUGAUGUGCCAUUAAUCCGCCAGUGGUGGUGCAUCCUACUGAUGGAAAGAUUACAGAUUGAAGGACAUGGCCAGAGGUUUGCUUUCUGGACUGACAAGGCUAGCAGGCUAUUGCAAGGGACCCUUCAGCCACUUUUUAGGGUAUCUAGGUCAAUCACUUCAGACAUUCCACCUCAUGUGCAAACCAUGGUCAACCGCACAGCCCAAUAAAAGAAGCUGGUAGACUUUGCUGUACAAGACCAUGGAGUCCGGCAACAUUUGUUGGGUGUACUCUGUGGAAAAGAGCCUUCGAAGUGGCUCAGCAGAAUCCAGAAGGGAUCAUCUCUACGGGUGCCAGUGUACCUGGACUCGGAGGAAGAACAGGACUCCCUAUUUUUCUUUAUCUUCAGGAUGUCCUGAAAUCUGCACCAGUAGAAUUCCACAUUGAGGAUCAAGUGCAGUUCAUUUUGGAUGUUUUGUUCCCAGAGUGCAUCACCCAAGCCAUGUCUACACUACAGGGAAUAACUAUACAAGAGGCUGAAGAGUUGUUUCUUUCAGGUCCUAACUACAGCAGAAGGUAAAAACAGUUACCUGUGUUUGAAAUAUCUGUAUGAAUGUUUAUUUAUUGUGACUACCAUUUUAAUUGGGUGGGUGGUUGCGUGUUUGUGUCGGGGUACUUUGAGU